GACAUAGGUGGCAAACGUUAUCCGGAAUUAUUGGGCGUAAAGAGCUCGUAGGCGGUUUGUCGCGUCUGGUGUGAAAUCCCGAGGCUCAACCUCGGGCCUGCAGUGGGUACGGGCAGACUGGAGUGCGGUAGGGGAGAAUGGAAUUCCUGGUGUAGCGGUGGAAUGCGUAGAUAUCGGAAGGAACAUCAGUGGCGAAAGCGGCUUCCUGGACCAGUACCGACGUUCAGGCACGAAAGCGUGGGGAGCAAACAGG
rnacentral:rRNA from 1 species